rnacentral:rRNA from 1 species
GGACGUGAUAAGCUGCGAUAAGCUUCGGGGAGUUGCACGUAAACUUUGAUCCGAAGAUUUCCGAAUGAGGAAACUCACUUAGAGUAAUGUCUAAGUAUCGUUAAGUGAAUACAUAGCUUAGCGAGGGGAACCCGGGGAACUGAAACAUCUAAGUACCUGGAGGAAGAGAAAGAAAAAUCGAUUCCGUAAGUAGCGGCGAGCGAACGCGGAACAGGCCAAACCAAUGAAGUUUACUUCGUUGGGGUUGCGGACAUAUCAUUAACGAAGAGGUAUCGUAAGUGAAGAGAGUUGGAAAGCUCCGCUAUAAAAGGUAAUAGCCCUGUAGCUGAAACGAGAAGACUUUAGAUGUGAUCCAGAGUACCACGGGACACGUGAAACCCUGUGGGAAGCAGGAGGGACCAUCCUCCAAGCCUAAAUACUACCUAGUGACCGAUAGCGCAUAGUACCGUGAGGGAAAGGUGAAAAGAACCCCGGGAGGGGAGUGAAAUAGAACCUGAAACCCUGUACUUACAAGCUGUGGGAGCACAUUACUUGUGUGACCGCGUACUUUUUGUAGAACGGGCCAACGAGUUACGUUAAGUAGCAAGGUUAAGCACUUAAGGUGUGGAGCCGUAGCGAAAGCGAGUCUUAAAUGGGCAAUUUAAGUUACUUGGCGUAGACCCGAAACCGGGCGACCUAUCCAUGAGCAGGUUGAAGCGAAAGUAAAAUUUCGUGGAGGACCGAACCCACGAGCGUUGAAAAGCUCGGGGAUGACUUGUGGAUAGCGGUGAAAUUCCAAUCGAGCCCGGAGAUAGCUGGUUCUCCCCGAAAUAGCUUUAGGGCUAGCCUCAAGGUUGAGAGAAGCGGAGGUAGAGCACUGAAUGUCCUAGGGGGUAUUGCACUUACCGAAGACUAUCAAACUCCGAAUGCCGUAUUCUUAUACUUGGGAGUCAGACUGUGGGUGAUAAGAUUCAUAGUCAAAAGGGCAACAGCCCAGAUCGUCAGCUAAGGUCCCUAAAUGUACGUUAAGUGGUAAAGGAU